CAGGAUGAACGCUGGCGGCGUGCUUAACACAUGCAAGUCGAACGGAGUUUUAACGGAAGUUUCGGAUGGAAGUUAGAACUAGUGGCGGACGGGUGAGUAACGCGUGGGUAACCUGCCUCAUACAGGGGGAUAACAGUUAGAAAUGACUGCUAACACCGCAUAAUAUAGCGAAACCGCAUGAUUUUUGCUAUCAAAUAUUUAUAGGGUAUGAGAUGGGCCCGCGUCUGAUUAGCUAGUUGGUGGGGUAAAAGCCUACCAAGGCGACGAUCAGUAGCCGGCUUGAGAGAGUGACCGGCCACAUUGGGACUGAGACACGGCCCAAACUCCUACGGGAGGCAGCAGUGGGGAAUAUUGGACAAUGGGGGAAACCCUGAUCCAGCGAACCGCCGCGUGAGUGAAGAAGCAUUUCGGUAUGUAAAGCUCUAUCAGCAGGGAAGAUAAUGACAGUACCUGACUAAGAAGCCCCGGCUAACUACGUGCCAGCCGCGGC
rnacentral:rRNA from 1 species